rnacentral:rRNA from 1 species
CCUACGGGAGGCAGCAGUGAGGAAUAUUGGUCAAUGGACGAGAGUCUGAACCAGCCAAGUAGCGUGAAGGAUGACUGCCCUAUGGGUUGUAAACUUCUUUUAUAUGGGAAUAAAAUGUUCCACGUGUGGGAUUUUGUAUGUACCAUAUGAAUAAGGAUCGGCUAACUCCGUGCCAGCAGCCGCGGUAAUACGGAGGAUCCGAGCGUUAUCCGGAUUUAUUGGGUUUAAAGGGAGCGUAGGUGGAUUGUUAAGGCAGUUGUGAAAGUUUGCGGCUCAACCGUAAAAUUGCAGUUGAAACUGGCAGGCUUGAGUACAGUAGAGGUGGGCGGAAUUCGUGGUGUAGCGGUGAAAUGCUUAGAUAUCACGAAGAACUCCGAUUGCGAAGGCAGCUUACGGCACUGCAACUGACACUGAGGCUCGAAAGUGUGGGUAUCAAACAGGAUUAGAUACCCCGGUAGUU